UGUCAAACAAGCCGUGGGCAAAUACGCAGUGCCAGCCGGUGAGCACGGAGUGCCGGGCAACUGUACGGAGUACGGAUUACGGAGAGUGCGGAGCGUGGAGCCCUGUGCCGGACUCCAAAGAGAGGAGACCACCCCGCUGCACUCGUCCGACUGUCAAUUACAACUCUAAAUAUGUGUGCACACUCGACAUUUGUCGCAUUUGUUUGCAUUUGCGCCUGCCUGCAAUAAAAUCCAACAACCGACAUCGCGCAAGAGUUAUACGUUCUGGCAUAUGGGAAUACACCGGAAAAUAUGGGCGGAAAGUAAUCUCAGAAAGUAUCAAAAAACUUAAUACUACUCUGGUCUAUUGGUGCCCAUAUCGUAGCAUAUGCAACUGUGAAUAUUUACUUUCUCUGCCGCAACGUGAGAGAACUCUGUAGAAGCGUUGAGCUCUGUGGAAUGGCCCCAACUCCCCGUCGGCAAAAGUGUCCCGUCCAAUAAAAUCUAAUAACCACUUGGGGACACCGUUUGGGCUCUCCCUCCACCACUUCUCCUAUCGUCGGAGGAGUUCUAUGCCUCCAAGGGCCCAACAACUGCGGACCUUAUAAGCAAGGUCUCUCUAUUCACUUGCACGAUUUUCGGCAGCUUUUCUUCUUCUGUAUUAUGACAUUGGCACAAAGAUGCGGCGGCGACUGCAGUUCCAGAAAUUUAGUUUUCCUGGCUUUAUGAUCGCUUGUCGGUCGUCAAAGGGCCUUUACGGGUGGGUUAGUGUGAGCAGGGGGUGGGGAAUGGGGAGACAUGGUGUCUAGGAGACAGCUGCCAUGUCAUUUGUGUGUGUAAGUGCCCAUAGUUGGGGUAUUUGGGGGUAGGAUUACGAAAAGAAUUCGGGGAAUUCACAAAAUGAACUAAUCGGAACCAAAGUUGUCUUUAAAAAUGGGAAAAUUUAUUUUUAUAUUGAGCAAAUAUAUUUUAUAGACUGAUAAGUUUAUGUAGUACAUUUCUAAAAGUUGUUGUGGGUAAUUCAGAAAUGCUUGGGUACUUUAACUACCGCAUACCUUUGUGUAAGAAAAAAACAUACUGAACACCACGUAAAGUGCCCCAACAGAAAUGCGAAAAUCUUUACGAGAUGGCACCUAAUUAGGCAGAAGAACGCCGCCAGAAAUUUACGUUUCCUUCAGUUCUGGCGCAUCUUUCAACUCAGCAAACUGCAAGAAACUAUACUUAAGACUUUUCGAACACUUGAACGCCAGCGAUUGGCCCAAAAAAGAGUAAGAAGCGCUUUUCCCACACAGAAAAAAAUAAUAUGACAAAUUGUUGUUUAUUUUAACAUAUUAAAGUUUACAAUAGUCAAACUGAA